rnacentral:rRNA from 1 species
GAUGAACGCUGGCGGCGUGCCUAAUACAUGCAAGUCGAGCGAACAGACGAGGAGCUUGCUCCUCUGACGUUAGCGGCGGACGGGUGAGUAACACGUGGAUAACCUUCCUAUAAGACUGGGAGAACUUCGGGAAACCGGAGCCAAUACCGGAUAAUAUAUUGAACCGCAUGGUUCAAUAGUGAAAGACGGUUUUGCUGUCACUUAUAGAUGGAUCCGCGCCGCAUUAGCUAGUUGGUAAGGUAACGGCUUACCAAGGCGACGAUGCGUAGCCGACCUGAGAGGGUGAUCGGCCACACUGGAACUGAGACACGGUCCAGACUCCUACGGGAGGCAGCAGUAGGGAAUCUUCCGCAAUGGGCGAAAGCUUGACGGAGCAACGCCGCGUGAGUGAUGAAGGUCUUCGGGUCGUAAAACUCUGUUAUUAGGGAAGAACAAAUGUGUAAGAAACUAUGCACGUCUUGACGGUACCUAAUCAGAAAGCCACGGCUAACUACGUG